rnacentral:rRNA from 1 species
UACGGAGGAGGCAAGCGUUAUCCGGAAUUAUUGGGCGUAAAGCGUCCGUAGGUGGCUAGUCAAGUCUGCGGUCAAAGACUGGGGCUUAACCCUGGAAAGGCCGUGGAAACUGACGAGCUAGAGUGCAGUAGGGGUAGAGGGAAUUUCCGGUGUAGCGGUGAAAUGCGUAGAGCUCGGGAAGAACAUCGGUGGCGAAAGCGCUCUACUGGACUGCAACUGACACUCAGGGACGAAAGCUAGGGGAGCGAAUGGG